UACGUAGGGGGCAAGCGUUAUCCGGAUUUAUUGGGCGUAAAGAGCUCGUAGGCGGCCGUUCGCGUCGGAUGUGAAAGCUCAGGGCUCAACUCUGAGACGCCAUUCGAUACGGGACGGCUAGAGGUAGGUAGGGGAAAGUGGAAUUCCUGGUGUAGCGGUGAAAUGCGCAGAUAUCAGGAGGAACACCGGUGGCGAAGGCGGGUCUCUGGGCCGAUACUGACGCUGAGGAGCGAAAGCGUGGGGAGCGAACAGG
rnacentral:rRNA from 1 species